CAGGAUGUAAAAGAUGAUUAUGUAUUUGAAUGUGAAGCUGGUACUCAGUAUCAGAAAACAAAGCUGACCAUCUUGCAGUCGCUUGGAGAUCCACUUUACUAUGGUAAAAUACAGCCAUGUAAAGCAGAUGAAGAAAGUGACAGCCAGAUGUCUCCAUCACACUCGUCCACAGAUGAUCAUUCAAAUUGGUUCAUUAUUGGAUCAAAGACCGAUGCUGAGAGGGUAGUCAAUCAGUACCAGGAAUUAGUCCAGAAUGAAGCCAAAUGUCCGGUCAAGAUGUCACACAGCUCCAGUGGCUCAGCCAGUCUGAGUCAGGUCUCUCCAGGGAAAGAAACAGAUGUGUGUUUCAUUAAUGUUACUUCUUUGUGCCCAGUUGUUUCACAAGUAAUCUGAGAAAUGUUAAGAAUCAUUUUUGGAGGCUAGGCACAGUGGCUCAUGCCUGUAAUCCCAACACUUUGGGAGGCCAAGGUAACUAUUUUACACCACAACAGACAAGCAGCUUUCUCAAAUCUCCAACUCCUCCUCCUU
rnacentral:sRNA from 1 species